UACGUAGGGUGCGAGCGUUGUCCGGAAUUAUUGGGCGUAAAGGGCUCGUAGGCGGUUUGUCGCGUCGGGAGUGAAAUCCACUGGCUUAACUGGUGGCUUGCUUUCGAUACGGGCAGACUGGAGGUAUGCAGGGGAGAACGGAAUUCCUGGUGUAGCGGUGAAAUGCGCAGAUAUCAGGAGGAACACCUAUUGCGAAGGCAGCUCGCUGGGACGUAACUGACGCUGAGACGCGAAAGCGUGGGAGCAAACAGG
rnacentral:rRNA from 1 species